CCAUUGUCCUCAUUUGUAAGUCACUUUGGAUAAAAGCAUCUGCUAAAUAACUGAAUGUAAAUUAUAGUCAUUUUAUAUUCUCAAAAUUCAUAUUUUCUACAAUAUAUGAGAAUUUUUUUAAUGUACAUUGCUAAUAGAUAUUUGUAUAUAGUGUUACACAGAGAGAUGCAUUUGUGAAAGCGCUCAGUUCUGUUUAAUUUUAUUUAUCUUUUGUAAUAAAAUAAUUUAAAUGAAAUGAUCCUGAAGUGCUUUUUAAAGUGAUUGUUUAAAUAAUAUAUGAGUAUGUACUUGAUUAAAUAUGGUAAUUCAAAGGAUUGACUUUAAUCUCUCUCUGUUAUAGUUCAGUUCAUCAGAAGAGAUCAGAAGCAGAGUCCAGCUGUGUGUCUGUGAGGAGUGACACAUCUGUGAAUCAGUCAUUAGAUUAUAAGAGUGAAGAUACAAAGACUGAUCUCAGAUUAUAUCAUCAGAAGAGAUCAGGAGCAGAGUCCAGCUGUGUGUCUGUGAGGAGUGAUUGGUCUAUGGAUCAUCCAAUACGGUUUAAGACUGGAGAUACAAAGACUGAUCUCAGUUCAGUUCAUCAGAAGAGAUCAGAAGCAGAGUCCAGCUGUGUGUCUGUGAGGAGUGAUGCGUCUGUGAAUCAGUCAUUAGAUUAUAAGAGUGAAGAUACAAAGACUGAUCUCAGGUAUAUUUUUAUAUAAAUAUUAUUAUAGCAUGUAAUUUUAUAUCGAUGAUUUAAGAUCGAUGCAGCAGCUGGUUUCAGUUUUUCGAUGUAAGUCAGUGAAUUUGUUUGAAAGCAUAAUGUGAGUAGUUUUUAUAUGAAUACAGAAGAAAUUGUGUCAUACCUUGGUUUACUAUAAUGUGAUUUCUUUUUUUUCAGUAGCUUUCUCU